CAAUGCUCUUCCAACUGAGCUACGCGGUCAGGACGGUUCGAGUAAGUGAUAUUUCGGAACAGAACCGCGUAGCUCAGUUGGAAGAGCAUUGGU